rnacentral:rRNA from 1 species
UACGGAGGAUGCGAGCGUUAUCCGGAUUUAUUGGGUUUAAAGGGUGCGCAGGCGGAUUUUUAAGUCAGCGGUCAAAUCGUGGGGCUCAACCCCUUCCCGCCAUUGAAACUGGCGUUCUUGAGUGGAAGAGAAGUAUGCGGAAUGCGCGGUGUAGCGGUGAAAUGCUUAGAUAUCGCGCAGAACCCCGAUUGCGAAGGCAGCGUACCGGCUCCACACUGACGCUGAGGCACGAAAGCGUGGGUAUCGAACAGG